AGUUUGAUUAUGGCUCAGAUUGAACGCUGGCGGAUGCUUUACACAUGCAAGUCGAACGGCAGCACGGACUUCGGUCUGGUGGCGAGUGGCGAACGGGUGAGUAAUGUAUCGGAACGUGCCUAGUAGCGGGGAUAACUACGCGAAAGCGUAGCUACUGACACAUUGCUCUUCGGGGGAAAGCGGGGACCUUCGGGCCUCGCACUAUUAGAGCGGGCUGGAUAUUUGAUUAGCUAGCUGGUGGGGUAACGGCUCACCAAGGCGAUUGAUCCGUAGCUGGUUUGAGAGGGAGGACGACGCAGCCACUACUGGGACUGAGAUACGGCCCGAGACUUUACGGGAGGCAGCAGUGGGGAAUUUUUGGACAAUGGGGAAACCCCGAUCCAGCUAUCCGCGUGUGCGAUGAAGCGCCUGCGGGUUGUAAAGCACUUUUGGCAGGAAAGAAAACGGCACGGGAUAAUACCCCGUGCAACUGACGGUACCGCAGAUUAAGCACCGGCUAACUAUGCACAGCAGCCGCGGUAUUGUAGGCGUAGCGUUGACCGGAAUUACUGGGCGUAAAAGCGCGUGCGCAGGCGGUUCGGAAAGAAAAGAUGAAAUCCCAGAGCUUAACUUUGGAACUGCAUUUUAACUACCGAGCGGAGGUGUCAGAGGGAGGUGGAAUUCCGCGUGUAGCAGUGAAAUGCGUAGAUAUGCGGAGGAACACCGACAUAAAGGCAGCCUCCUGGGGAUAACACUGACGCUCAUGCACGAAAGCGUGGGGAGCAAACAGGAUUAGAUACCGGUGUCCACGCCCCAAACGAUGUCAACUACUGUUGGGGCCUUCGGGCCUUGGUGAAGGCAGCUAACGCGUGAAGUUGACCGCCUGGGGAGUACGGUCGCAAGAUUAAAACUCAAAGGAAUUGACGGGGACCUCCGCACAAGCGCAGAUGAUGUGAUUAAUUCGAUGCAACGAAACUGCAUUCGCACCUUGAUGAUGUCUGAACCUGAAGAGAUUUGAGUGCUCGCAAGAGAACCGGAACACAGGUGCUGUAAGGCUGUCAGUCAGUCAAAGUCGAUGUUAAGUCCGCAACAUCGACGCAACCUCUGUCAUUAGUUACGCUGAAAGGGCACUACCAGACUGCCGGUGACAAACCGGAGGAAGGUGGAUGACACGUCAAGUCCUCAUGGCCCUUAUGGGUAGGGCUUCACACGUCAUACAAUGGUCGGGACAGAGGGUCGCCAACCCGCGAGGGGGAGCUAAUCCCAGAAACCCGAUCGGUCCGAUCGCAGUCUGUAACUCGACUGCGUGAAGUCGGAAUCGCCAGUGCGGAUCGCGGAUCAGCAUGUCGCGGUGAAGGAGGUUCUGGCCCGCAGACACCGGCCUUCGUCACACUCAUGGGAGUGGGUUUUACCAGAAGUGAAGUUAGUCGAAUCAGGCGAGGGCGAUUACCACGGUAGAUUCAUGACUGGGUGAAGUCGUAACAGGCAG
rnacentral:rRNA from 1 species